CCCAGCGCUGAAGCGCUGGGCCAAGUUAUUUUGCCCCUGCGGGGCG
rfam:Acidobacteriales bacterium 13_1_40CM_3_55_5 13_1_40cm_3_scaffold_3015, whole genome shotgun sequence.